rnacentral:rRNA from 1 species
CGGGUGAGUAACACGUAUCCAACCUGCCGUCUACUCUUGGACAGCCUUCUGAAAGGAAGAUUAAUACAAGAUGGCAUCAUGAGUCCACAUGUUCACAUGAUUAAAGGUAUUCCGGUAGACGAUGGGGAUGCGUUCCAUUAGAUAGUAGGCGGGGUAACGGCCCACCUAGUCUUCGAUGGAUAGGGGUUCUGAGAGGAAGGUCCCCCACAUUGGAACUGAGACACGGUCCAA